rnacentral:lncRNA from 7 species
UUUUUGCCUAGAUAAUGCAGUAAUAUCUGUUUUGUACCGUAGCAGUUCACAGCAACAAAAGGUUUUAUCCCCUUGGAUGACUAUUGAUGUAGGUGAUCUGAGACCUUUGGUUUAUGAUAGAACAUGGUCUUCUACUUGAUCUGGUAUGAUAAUAUGGACUCUCAGUUAAAGCUAUACCAACUUUGAGAGUUCAUACAAAGUUAGCUUAGAUGACAAGGGAUCCGAAGACAAAUGCAA